rnacentral:tRNA from 1 species
AUUAUAGUAGUUUAUGUAAAAUAAUGGUUUGUGGUGCCUUAGAAGUUGUUACCUAUAAUA